rnacentral:sRNA from 1 species
AUGAACUUCCCAGAUCCUGUUGACUCAGGAACUCAAAUGGGCCAUUUCAAUGAUCAUGUAGAAACUAAUGGCUUUUCAUCUUUAGAAGAGAAUUUACUUCAUCAAGUGGAAUCUCAAACUGAGCCAUUCACAGGACUUGACCCCGAGGACCUCCUUCAGGAGGGUCUUCUUCCUCACUUUGAUGAGUCAACAUUUGGACAAGAUAAUUCAAGUCACAUUUUAGAUCAUGACCUUGAUCGGCAGUUUACUUCGCAUCUGGUAACACGGCCUUCUGAUAUGGCUCAGACUCAGUUGCAAAGUCAGGCUCGGAGUUGGCAUUCAUCAUUUUCUAAUCAUCAACAUUUACAUGACAGAAAUCACCUAUGUUUACAGCGACAGCCUCCAUCUUCCAAGAAGAGCGAUGGUUCUGGGACAUAUACUAAGUUGCAGAAUACCCAGGUGAGGGUCAUGUCUGAGAAGAAGCAGAGAAAAAAGGUGGAAUCAGAAAGCAAGCAAGAAAAGGCUAAUCGUAUAAUAUCAGAGGCCAUAGCAAAAGCAAAGGAGCGUGGGGAACGCAAUAUUCCACGAGUAAUGAGCCCUGAAAACUUUCCUACUGCUUCAGUUGAAGGAAAAGAGGAAAAGAAAGGUAGAAGGAUGAAAUCCAAGCCAAAGGACAAAGACAGCAAAAAAACAAAAACAUGUUCUAAGUUAAAAGAGAAGACAAAAAUUGGCAAACUCAUUAUUACAUUGGGUAAGAAACAAAAAAGAAAGAAUGAGUCUUCAGAUGAAAUAUCUGAUGCAGAACAGAUGCCACAGCAUACAUUAAAAGAUCAAGACUCUCAAAAAAGAAGAUCAAAUCGACAAAUUAAAAGAAAAAAAUACGCAGAAGAUAUAGAAGGGAAGCAAUCUGAAGAAGAGGUUAAAGGUUCUAUGAAAAUAAAAAAGAAUUCAGCUCCUUUACCUGGUGAACAGCCUUUACAAUUGUUUGUGGAGAAUCCGAGUGAAGAAGAUGCUGCAAUUGUAGACAAAAUUCUAUCUUCUAGAACCGUAAAAAAGGAAAUAUCACCUGGAGUGAUGAUUGAUACAGAAGAAUUUUUUGUAAAAUACAAGAAUUACUCCUAUCUUCACUGUGAGUGGGCCACAGAAGAGCAGCUUUUGAAAGAUAAAAGGAUCCAGCAGAAAAUCAAACGAUUCAAAUUGAGACAAGCACAAAGAGCACAUUUUUUUGCAGACAUGGAAGAAGAACCAUUUAACCCAGACUACGUUGAAGUAGACAGAGUAUUAGAAGUCUCUUUUUGUGAAGAUAAGGAUACUGGUGAGCCUGUUAUUUACUACUUAGUAAAAUGGUGCUCAUUGCCAUAUGAAGAUAGUACUUGGGAACUAAAAGAAGAUGUAGAUCUUGCAAAAAUAGAAGAGUUUGAACAACUGCAAGCUUCAAGGCCUGACACAAGACGUUUGGACCGUCCUCCUUCUAAUAUUUGGAAGAAAAUAGAUCAAUCCAGGGACUAUAAAAAUGGCAAUCAACUCAGGGAAUAUCAACUGGAAGGACUCAACUGGCUCUUGUUCAAUUGGUACAAUAGACGAAACUGCAUCUUAGCAGAUGAAAUGGGUCUUGGCAAAACUAUUCAAUCAAUUACAUUCCUCUAUGAAAUCCUUCUGACUGGUAUAAGAGGACCUUUCCUGAUUAUUGCUCCACUUUCUACUAUUGCAAACUGGGAGAGAGAAUUUCGUACGUGGACUGAUAUUAACGUUGUGGUUUAUCAUGGGAGCCUGAUUAGCAGACAAAUGAUACAGCAAUACGAGAUGUACUUCAGGGAUUCACAGGGGCGUAUCAUUCGAGGAGCUUACAGAUUCCAAGCCAUCAUCACCACUUUUGAAAUGAUUCUUGGAGGCUGUGGAGAGCUUAAUGCAAUUGAAUGGCGAUGUGUGAUUAUUGAUGAAGCACAUAGGUUAAAAAAUAAAAAUUGUAAACUCUUAGAGGGCCUGAAACUCAUGAAUCUGGAACACAAGGUGCUUUUGACUGGCACCCCUCUCCAAAAUACAGUUGAAGAACUAUUUAGUCUUCUUCACUUUCUUGAACCCUUAAGGUUUCCUUCUGAAUCAACAUUUAUGCAAGAAUUUGGGGAUCUGAAAACAGAGGAACAGGUACAGAAACUUCAGGCUAUCCUGAAACCAAUGAUGUUGAGACGAUUAAAAGAAGAUGUGGAAAAGAAGUUGGCACCUAAAGAAGAAACCAUCAUUGAAGUAGAACUUACUAAUAUUCAAAAGAAAUACUACCGGGCUAUCUUGGAAAAGAACUUUUCUUUUUUAUCCAAAGGAGCAGGACAAACUAAUGUACCUAACUUGGUCAAUACCAUGAUGGAGCUCAGGAAAUGUUGUAAUCAUCCAUAUCUUAUAAAAGGUGCUGAGGAGAAAAUACUUGGAGAAUUUAGAGAUACUUACAAUCCAGCUGCUUCUGAUUUUCAUCUUCAAGCAAUGAUCCAGUCUGCUGGUAAAUUGGUCCUUAUUGAUAAAUUGCUUCCCAAAAUGAAAGCCGGAGGUCAUAAAGUGCUCAUCUUCUCUCAAAUGGUUCGUUGCCUUGACAUUCUGGAGGACUAUCUCAUACAUAAAAGAUACUUAUAUGAGCGAAUUGAUGGCAGAGUCAGAGGAAAUCUUCGGCAAGCUGCUAUAGAUAGAUUUAGUAAACCUGAUUCAGAUAGAUUUGUUUUUCUCCUGUGUACCCGAGCUGGUGGGUUGGGCAUCAACUUAACUGCAGCUGAUACAUGUAUAAUUUUUGAUUCUGAUUGGAAUCCUCAAAAUGAUCUUCAGGUAAAUAAUUUCCUUGGCUAACAAAAAAUGCAUUUUUUAAAAAAGUAAAAUUGUGUAACUUUUUGGUAAUCCACAUCUUUUAUUUUUAUCUGGACAAACUAAUGUAUGU